GCAAGUCGAACGGUAACAUAGCUAGCUUGCUACUGCUGACGACCGGCGAACGGGUGAGUAACGCGUAUGCAACCUACCUAUUACAGAGGGAUAGCCCUAAGAAAUUGGGAUUAAUACCACAUAGUUUUGAGAUAUCGCAUGAUAUUUUGAAUAAAGAUUUAUCGGUAAUAGAUGGGCAUGCGUAUCAUUAGCUAGUUGGUAAGGUAACGGCUUACCAAGGCAACGAUGAUUAUGGGGUCUUAAAGGAUGGUC
rnacentral:rRNA from 1 species